rnacentral:rRNA from 1 species
AACGAACGCUGGCGGCAUGCCUAACACAUGCAAGUCGAACGAAGGCUUCGGCCUUAGUGGCGCACGGGUGCGUAACGCGUGGGAAUCUGCCCUUGGGUUCGGAAUAACUCAGAGAAAUUUGAGCUAAUACCGAAUGAUGUCGAAAGACCAAAGAUUUAUCGCCCAAGGAUGAGCCCGCGUAGGAUUAGCUUGUUGGUGAGGUAAAGGCUCACCAAGGCGACGAUCCUUAGCUGGUCUGAGAGGAUGAUCAGCCACACUGGGACUGAGACACGGCCCAGACUCCUACGGGAGGCAGCAGUGGGGAAUAUUGGACAAUGGACGAAAGCCUGAUCCAGCAAUGCCGCGUGAGUGAUGAAGGCCUUAGGGUUGUAAAGCUCUUUUACCAGGGAUGAUAAUGACAGUACCUGGAGAAUAAGCUCCGGCUAACUCCGUG